rnacentral:ncRNA from 1 species
UUGCCGGAGGUAGAGCUACUGGAUGGCCGAUGGGCCCUACAAGGUUACUGACGUCAGCCAAACUCCGAAUGCCGGUAAGUGAGAGCGCAGCAGUGAGACUGUGGGGGGAUAAGCUUCAUAGUCGAGAGGGAAACAACCCAGACCACCAACUAAGGUCCCUAAGCGCGUGCUAAGUGGGAAAGGAUGUGGAGUUGCUUUGACAACCAGGAGGUUGGCUUAGAAGCAGCCACCCUUGAAAGAGUGCGUAAUAGCUCACUGGUCAAGUGAUUCCGCGCCGACAAUGUAACGGGGGCUCAAGCACGCCACCGAAGUUGUGGCAUUGACAUUUUUUUUUGGUAGGCCUUCGUGGUCCAGCCGUGUUGAUGGGUAGGAGAGCGUCGUGUGGCGAGUGAAGCGGCGGGGUGACCCAGCCGUGGACGCUACACGAGUGAGAAUGCAGGCAUGAGUAGCGAAAGACGUGUGAGAAACACGUCCUCCGAAAGACC